rnacentral:misc_RNA from 1 species
AUGAUUUCAAGGAUGUGCUGGCAUUGAUUGCAAUGCAUGUGCACUCUGCCUUUCCAAUCCCCUGUGCACAUUGUGUAGACAGAGACUAUCCUGUCUCUUGCCUACGUUUUUCUACACCAUGUCAUGAAAAAAAUAUGCUUUUAUCGUUGUAAAUAUAAAA